rnacentral:rRNA from 1 species
UACGUAGGGGGCAAGCGUUGUCCGGAAUCAUUGGGCGUAAAGCGCGAGUAGGCGGUUCGAUAAGUCUGCUGUGAAAGUCCAGGGCUCAACCCUGGAAAGCCGGUGGAUACUGUCAGACUAGAGUGCGGAAGAGGCGAGUGGAAUUCCCGGUGUAGCGGUGAAAUGCGCAGAUAUCGGGAGGAACACCAAUUGCGAAGGCAGCUCGCUGGGACGUUACUGACGCUGAGACGCGAAAGCGUGGGGAGCAAACAGG